GGAAAUUUUUAAGACUGUAAUAAGCUGCUGCAUGCUGCCUAGGAAAAUUUUAAUACUACUUGAAAAAUUAAACUAAUGCAAGUUUAUAAAAAUAGAAUAUGCUGCUGCAUGCUUAAUAGUGGUAGUACAACAAAAAAACUGCUUCUACUGCUGGCAACAAAAAAACUGCUUUUA
rnacentral:rRNA from 14 species